rnacentral:rRNA from 1 species
CAUGCAAGUCGAACGCAGUAGCAAUACUGAGUGGCAGACGGGUGAGUAACAUGUGGGAAUCUGCCUUGUGGUUCAGGACAACAUUGGGAAACCGAUGCUAAUACUGGAUAAGCCCUUACGGGGAAAGUUUUAAUGCCAUAAGAUGAGCCCGCAUUUGAUUAGUUAGUUGGUGAGGUAAUGGCUCACCAAGACAAUGAUCAAUAGCUGAUCUGAGAGGAUGAUCAGCCACACUGGGACUGAGACACGGCCCAGACUCCUACGGGAGGCAGCAGUGGGGAAUCUUGCACAAUGGAGGAAACUCUGAUGCAGCGAUGCCGCGUGAGUGAAGAAGGCCUUUGGGUUGUAAAGCUCUUUUGUAGGGGAAGAUAAUGACUGUACCCUAAGAAUAAGGUCCGGCUAACUUCGUGCCAGCAGCCGCGGUAAUACGAAGGGACCUAGCGUAGUACGGAAUUACUGGGCGUAAAGCGCGCGUAGGCCGUUGAGUUAGUUAAUUGUGAAAUCCCAAAGCUUAACUUUGGAACUGCAAUUAAAACUGCUCGACUAGAGUUUGAUAGAGGAAAGCGGAAUACAUAGUGUAGAGGUGAAAUUCGUAGAUAUUAUGUAGAACACCAGUUGCGAAGGCGGCUUUCUGGAUCAACACUGACGCUGAGGCGCGAAAGUAUGGGUAGCAAAGAGGAUUAGAUACCCUCGUAGUCCAUACCAUAAACGAUGAUUGCUAGAUGUUGGAAAUUUAUUUUCAGUAUCGCAGCUAACGCAUUAAGCAAUCCGCCUGGGGAGUACG